rnacentral:lncRNA from 1 species
CGCGCAUCGUGACGGCCAUCGCGGUGGACGAGGACGGGCGGCGCCACACGGUGCGCGCGCUCGCAGGUCAGUCGCUGUUUAGGGCUCUUGUGAAUGCAGGGCUGCGCCUCCACUUGUCACACCAGCUCGACACCUCGUGCUAUGGCUACGUGUGCCGUGUGAGCAUCAGCGACGAGUGGAGGGCGCGGAUCCCCGAGCCGACCGAGGACGAGCUUCACGUCCUCAAGCACCACUUCACGCCGCCCGACUUCGAUCCCUCCAUCCGGUGCAGCUGCAAGAUCAAGCUCAGCGACAAGAUCAACGGCAUCGUGGUCGCGCUCGUCCCCGAGAAGUGCUGGGAUUUCACUUGAGAGGAGAGAAUGUGGGUUGUGGAGGGGUGAUCUUCGAUGGACAGUGUGCAAUAAGCUAUAGCAGGUGUCUUUUGCUUCUCUUUCGGGGAAGACGAUCGUCCCCUUUAGCUCCUUGCAGCACAUGCCCAGUGUGGGGAUUUUGUUUCAUAGUUGAUGUCACUGUGAAGUCUUUACUGGAUUGGGAUCGAUGGCGCUACAAAGAUCUAAAAUACAUAUUAUCACUUAAAUCUCAUGGAGAAAACUCGUGUUUUAACUGUUCUAGAUAUUCUAGAUAUUCGAGCACCGACAUUGUGG